AGUGUAGACAUAUUUGAUUGGAUACGUGUCAUACACUACUCUGGCAGUGGAGGAACACAUAGGUGGCUAGAUAGAACCAAUACACGAAAUGGAUGAAAUGAAAGGGUUCUCCUAUAUAGAUAUGUUGUCAGGUACUGUUGAGGAGAGGAGCUCAGUGAUGAUGGAGGCCCUGGUAGUGCCUGUCACUGCUCUGGAGUUCCUAAGGGAGGAGUACCUGCUGACAGGUGAGGGUCCGAUCCUGACAGUUUACUGCCUCCAACCACAGCCCAAAGCCUGCACCUCACUGAGCUUGCUCCACAACUACCGCAUCCAUGGAAUACGUCACAAACCACAGCCAAGAGACGGACGGACCCGUGACCCAGAGGAUGAGGUGGUAGUGUUUGGAGGGAAGGUUGUGCGCCUGCUGAGGCUGAGUGCUAGAAGGUAGAGGCUAGAGCCACUGGGCCCCCUCAUGGAGCUGCAGGACUGGGCCCUGGAUGUCCACUUGGUCUCUGGAGAGGAAGAGCCCCUCCUCAGUGUGGCUCUGGCCUUUGGAGGGACCUGGGAGGACUCUGUCCUGGUGGGGGAGACAGUGUUCAACCAGCUGGUGCUCUGGAGGCCAGGAGGGGCACAGCCAGACAGGAAGGCCCCAGUGGAAAGGUGUCUGCCAGGUCAUAGUGGUGUCUUCUUCAGCCUCUGUUUCCGCCGGGAGACUGGUGUGUUGGGGUGCUGUACGGACACCAGUCUUCUCCGUAAAGCUGUCCCCUGGAUGGGUGUACAGCACUGGGGAGGACGGGGUCUCUGUUGUGGGACUGGGGAGGUGGGGGAGGGUGGGCCGGACACUGAAUGGACACCGGGCUGGGGGAGUGAGGGCGGUCAGUGAGGGAGGGGAGGGCCAGGGCAUGUGGGUGGCCACCGGGGGGCUGCAGAUCGAGGAGUCCAGCUAUAGCAGGUGGGGGGUGAGAAGAGGGCGAGAGCCUGGUGGACCUGGACUUCCCCUCCUGUGACGGGGGUUCUGAGUUCAGGUCCUGUGUGUUAGAGGUGUUGAGACUUAUGGGUUGGGGGUCUGCUGCAUCCAGGGAGGGGCUGUGUGCUAUAGGCAGCCUCCGUGAAGGGGUGCAUGUCUUCCCCAUGUCCCAGCCUGGUGCAGGGGUGUUGUUGAGGGCAGGGCCAGGGAAGGUCCACAGUGUGCUGUGGGUGGCGCAGGCAGAGGGACAGGGGAUACCUGCAGGUGUCCGGGGCAGAGGGGCUGGUCUAUCAUUGGCAGGUGGAGGUAGAGAUGAGACACAGGACUGGAUCUAAGGGUAGAACCACUGUGCUCUCCUCCUGCCUUCCUGUGCAAAACGCCGGCUCACUGCUGUAGUUUACCUCAAUCAUCCACAGGGGGCACUGUUGCUAUGUCGAAACAGGAGAGGAUCACUGCUUCUUUUUGAAGGGAGAGAACUCCCGAAGCAAGGGGUGACGUGGGUGUGAGCAUCGCAGACAGUUGUACAGCGCAGGUAGAGAUAGCUGUGUGAGUCCUCUGGGUCGGACCAGAGAGUCUUGAGGUUCUGAGGGUCCAUCAGUCAUGCAGGGGGAUGGAGUGGCUGGAGAGAGUUCUGCUUCUGGAACCCCAGGACUCUGAAGAUGACCUGAGGGUCCAGGAACUAGAAGGGACUGGGUCUGGGAGUGGUAAAAAGGCCCACUUUGUGAUGAUGGUCUUCCACUUGGUCCACCUUGUGGUGCAGUACCAUGGGGGAGGAGGUAGAGGGCAGCAGAGUUCCUACAGCUCCAGUCUCAGUGGUCAGUGGCUUUAGCUCACACUGCCCUUCUGACUGCCCUAAGGAUGCUGAGCCCUGCUGAUGUCCACCUCCCCUGACCAGAGGGUGUUUGUUGUGGCUGGCCAGUACCGGACUCAGCCAGCAGGGAGCGCUCUUCUCCCAUGGCAUAGACCCAGUAGGGCUGGAGGUAUGGAUGGGGGCUGGGCCUGUAGUUGGGGCUAGGGACAGGGGCUGGGUGGUUGUCUGUGGACAGGGGUUACAGCUGCUGAAGGUAACAGACAUGGAGGAUGGAGGGAACAGGUAGCAUAGAACUGGAAGAAUGAUGUGUGGGACGUGUGAAAGAGUCUUUUCACCAGACAAGACAACAUGACCUGUUGUGUACAGGACCCAGUGCUUUCAGACCCAUGGACUGGUACUUUACUAAAUUCAUUGUCAAAGCAUCUGACAUUUUCCUCGGGGGGGGGGUGUAUUGCAAGUGCUGUGUUGUGAAAUGGAGGUCUCGAUGGGGGUCAGUGCACAAGUUUACAGGGGGACAAGACUGCAGCAGAUGAACAUGAGUUUUUUAGUCACAUCCGAGUGCCAUCUUCACUGAGGAGAUAAAGGGACAAUCAGAAAAAGUCUACGAGAGAGAGAGAAGGGUUUGAGUAUGGAAAUGGACUGCAGAGGUGAAUAAAUAAGUAAACUAUUGAGAGAAUGUUAGUUAAAGAGCCAGAGGAUGGAAGGAGGGGAUGCCUUCUGACCAAUGCCGUAUAAAAACAACUGUAUAUGUGAAUACAUACACAUUGCUUCUGACAGGCUCAAUGGGAAAUCUCUGGAUUUGUUUUUUUCCAAUAGAAAGACCUGUAAUUCAACUGUGUCUGUGCAGAGUGAGAGAAGACUCAUGGAAGGAAUCUAUUGAUGCCUGAAGGGAGUCGGGGCUGAUUGGUGAAGUCAUUUACUUGGUGUGUGUGUGUAGUGGUGCGUGAGGGAUACCUCGGCGUCGCCAGAGCCAGGAGAACGAGGCGGAGGUGUGCCAGUGGACCCCCGAGGGAGGAGGAAAGACCCCCAAGUUGAGGAGGAGCCCUCCACACCCACCAGAGAGGUUAUAGGCACUAUGGUGUUACGGGAUCGGUUGCCUAUGAUUGGCUCCUCUGGAAGGAAACCAGCAGGUGAACCAACUAAGGUUUCACACCACUUAAUUUAAUAGCGCUACUAUUUGAACCUGCUUCACUGUCUGUGUGUUGACUUCUGGUCCAUGACUGUUUAAAAGGCCAGCUCCUCCUCUUGCUCUGCAUCCUCUCCUACUCCUCCUCAUAUCCUGUUUCAUCCCCUCUCAUCUCUGUUGGCUCUCAAGUGUUUGUUUUCCUCUGGCUUUGUUCUCUGUCAACAGACACUUGAUCCUGUCAACAGAGACACACAGGGCAUGAAAUAAUAAACAAUGCACUGUAACGCUCACAACAACAGUUCUUGUGGAGAGAUGUUACCCCACUCUUCCACCAAGGCACCUGCAAGUUCCUGGACAUUUCUGGGGGGAAUGGCCCUAGUCCUCACCCUCUGAUCCAACAGAUCCCAGGCGUGCUCAAUGGGAUUUAGA